UGCCCAGCAACUCCUAUCCCUACCUCCUCGUGGUACUUGUAGGGAAGAUCGGGUAACCAACCCCGGUGGGAACUUUGGUCGUAGGCUGACAGGGAAGG
rnacentral:ribozyme from 1 species